CUAUACUUUCCACAGUAUGCAUCCGAUGAAGUGAGCUGUAGCUCACAAAAGCUUAUGCUCAAAUAAAUUGGUUAGUCUCUAAGGUGCCACAAGUACUCCUUUUAUUUUCCAUAAAGUCUUGAUCAUACAUUGAGAUCUUUUCAGGGUUGCAGUGGUAGUAACUAGAUAGACAUGGGCCUGAAUCAAAAUCCUAAAUCCUAACACUUCCGAAGUUUGAGUAACUGAUAAUCCAUAUCAAAAUGUCAUAGUUUGAUUAUUGUUAGAAAUGCGGUCAAUUUCUGGCCUGCCCUUUUGGUUACUUCCAAAUACAUCCACUCAUACCUUGAUUUUUUGAAAAAUGUUUCCUGCUCUUCUCCUGUUUUUUUCAUUUCCCCAUUUUCUCCAUUAUUCCUCCCCAUCAUUUCUCUUCAGUUUCUCCUCUUUUUCUUUAUAUCUAUUUUCUAAACUCAAAACUGGCUUUAAAUUUAUGCUCUAAGAAAAACUUUUUUUUCUAAAUAACAUCAGAACAGCUUUAAACAUGUUUGAAAAAUCUCAUCAUUCACACACACGAAGUCUCAUCUGGAAAAGAUGGUUGCAUGAAGUCCUAGCACUUGUUCACAUGCAUGCAGUACAUUACCCUCUUCCUCUGCUUAAGCAGAUUGGUAAGGUGACAAAAUAAAAGUUGUUGCGGGGCUCAAGAGCAGCAUGACAUUCCCAUAUAGAGAGCAAAUGUCAAAGGCUGAACGUGCCAGCUUGCUUACACAAGUUGUUAAUUUCAACAAGAGGGUUCAUUCUAAAUCAAGGGUCUGGUCCUGCAAACUCUGGGCCUGGUGCUUGCUAUCAUAAAUAGCCCCAAAUUCAGUUGUUGAUUAUGAGUAGUCUCAUUGACUUUGCAAAGUCUCACUGACUUCUCCAAAGUUGAUGGUGAGGAUAUUUUAAGCUGAAGGGAUACUGUGGAAGACAGCAUGAGGGCUCAAUUUGUUUGGGAGGUAGGGGAAUUGAGCUUCCUCUUGUUAAAUAUUUACUAGCUGAUCCCUUGUUUUCUAGGUUGUAUAUAGACGAAAGAACUAAGAAGUUUAUAUAUAAGCAUAAAGCCAUGUCCUCCUACACUACCUGAUUUUUGCUUGGGAGUGUUUGGGGUACUCCUCAGUGUUAAAUCCGUUAAACAAAAGUUGUGGCUUGGCCCUUAAAAACCCAUUGUUUGUGUGCUGUGUGUAUAUAUUCUCUGCAUGUCCACAUCAAUUUACAGGAAACAUUUCCUACAAAACUGGGGCAUCUGUCUUAAAGCUUCCAAGGGCAAUUUCUUUUGGUUUUUAGCCUAAUCCCAAUGGCCACUACUAUACUCUCCAACCUGUGAAAUCUAUAAAUAAAGACAUCUGAGGAAAAAAGUAAUGGCAUCCACUGAACUUCACUAGCUUAGAGGAGUUUUUCUUGGAGGGGCAGAGGGAGAAGAAGAUUAAUAUUUUUUCUAAAAAAUAAAGUCUGUCCCAUCUAAGCAGCGACACUGGCAUGUAUGGUACCACAUGACUGGCUUCUGGUCAUCACUUUGUCACUCUCCUUCCCUCCCUCUUCAACUAUUCAGAAAGAACCUAUGUAAGCACUUAUGCAUUCUGCUCCCUUCCACUGCUCUUUACCUUUCCUGCGUUUAGGUUACAUGACCCCCAGCAAUAACAACUGGGUUUUUUUUUUAAUUUAUUUUGUUUUUUUGUUUUUAAAGCAGGCCCAGAACUGGUUUUAGCCUCCCAGACUCAGUUCUCCUGGCUGUUUUCCAGCAUCCGAUAAGGAAGAAAUUGCUUUAAAGACAGCCCAAUAAACAAGAUUCGAUUGUAGAUGGAUCCAUGGAAGGCUGGAAACAUUUGGAGGAGGAGUAGCAAGAGAGCUCUGAGGAUGGAAAAUGUAGGACCCGACCUUGGAUUUGGAAGACAACAUCUCUCAAUAAGCUGACCAGAGUUGCAGUUCCAGAUGAUGCCAGCAACUGGUGCGGAGGUGGAGAAGCCCACAGAGAAGUGAACAUUGCAGGUUUCCCCUCUGAGGGUACUGAAUGGCGAGCUGUCAGGGGUACAUGAGGCUGGCCUGGUACCAAGCAUUGUAGUGAUCUUGCAGGUUCUCCCAUGUCCGCCAGUACCAAUAGCGUCAACUCUUGCACUGCCGGGGAUACCAGCACCAACAGGGUCAGGAAGUCCCUGGCACCUGAAAACAUCUCCAGUGUGACCGGUACCAAGGUGGUGUUGGUACGGUGUGGUGCUUCCAAUGUGGAGGGAGCUCCUUCUGGCUCUGGACUUGAUGGCAUCUGGGCAAUGGUGCCAUCUUCUGCAGCACCAAAGCAGAGGCAUACUUGGGCUUAGGCCACACUCUACUCUUAUCCCUAUGCCUAGCAAAGUUCAGUGCUGGGCAUCUCCCAUUUUGGCAGUCUGCUUCUUAUGCUUCUUUUUAGGCACUGGAGAUGGUGAGCCGUGUCGGAACUCAGGUACAAUAGGAGGUGUGCUCCUUAUCCAUGCUGAGUCACUCUGUGACGAUUUUGACCGACCUGGCUCAGAUGGAAGUCUCAAGCCUGCCUCCAUGAGUAGAAACUGUAGCCUGGCUUCACGGUCUCUCUAUGCAAGGCUUAAAAGUCCUUAGAAAUUUGGUAAAACUCUCCAAUAUGAGCUUCCCUGACGCACUUCAAGCAACUUGAGUAUGGAUUGCUCACGGUCAUCAUGACCUCAUUGAAGGAAAUGCAGGGCUUGAAGCCCGGUGACCAAGGACUGGGAGUCAACCAAAACCAUGAGUUGGCUUCAAAAAAAUCUAACUAAAUACUAAUUAUAUACAAUAAAAAAGGACACACUCCACUGAGAGAACUUGCAAAUGCAAGAAGAGCAGUUCCAGCGACUGUCACAGGUGGGCUGCUCUCUUCUCACUUCUCCUGCUUUUCAGAGAAGGGGCAGGGGGUUCAGGGUCAGCUGGGCCUUUUAUAUUGAUGCUAGCGGUGUGCAGCAGCAGAGGGCACUUGAGCCAUCCUGACGGAUACCGUGGACAGAAAAUAAUUCUGGCAACUCUGCAUAGGCGUGUGCACACCAAGAGUGGAAUGCACAUGUGCAAUCACUCAAAGAAGAACUUUUACUUUCUUCUUUCAUUUUGGUAAAUAAAACCUACUUUAGUAGCAAUGAUCUAUCUCCUCUUCAUCAAGUUACUAAGCUUUUUUAUUAAAAAAAAAAGUGCUCUAAAAGGCUAUUUAAUACAAUCUAUAUAAAUUAGCCAUAGGAUAGAUAGGAGGGAAAAUAGAGGCACAGAGAGGUGAAGUGACUGGCUCAAGGUUACAUAGCAGGCUAGUGGCAGAGCCAAAUAUAGAACCCACGUUUCCUGACUCCUGUGCUAGUGCCCUAUCCACUGAACUAUGUUGCCUCUCCAGUUGUUGUUAUGUUAUGGUAAAAAUGUAUAUUCUACAACUGGGGCUCCUUUGUGCUGGGUACUGUACAUACUAUACAACUCCUGCCCCUGUUUCAUUAUGACGAUUUUCAGUCAGACUUGCAGAGAGCCCACAGGAUGGAGACUUGUUGAAAGUACAUAACUACAAGCUAAUGGCUAAUGAUUCCAUUUAAUUAUGACUCGUGCUGUCUCUGGACUACUCAGCAUUUAACAGAAAGGACCUUUUGAUCGUUACAAAAAAUGACGGAGUUUUGUGCAUGACCUUGAGCAGGCAUUAGCCAAAUUUAUUUGGCUAAUUGCUUGGCAAUAGUUUCACUAGGCUUGCAUGAUUUAGAACCUGCUUCUUUCCAUAGUGGGGUUCCUCAGGGAUCUGUACUAUGUUGUCUGCUAUGCAUUUACAUGAUCCCUCCUUGUUUCAUUAUAUGGAAACCUGAAGUACACUUCCAUUAUGGAGAGGUGAAGCUCGUUGAGCUGCAAAAUCCAAUUGUUUAUGCUGAGUCUUGAACUAUUUAGCAUGUGGGAGGGGAAUAACAUUUGUUCCUGCCUUGUCUCUAGAAAGCAGGAGAAUUGAGAAGAGAGCAGUGCCAUUUAUUCCCUCUCACAUACUGGCUUUUUGCACUUCUUUAAAUGUUUGCACGUCUAUAGUCUGUCUAGACUGCUAUUCAUCCAGAGCACAGCAGCAAGUCUGUUAACAGGCACAUUACAGUUCCAGCAUAUUCAAAUCUGCAAUCCUUACACUCAUUCCCUUCUAAGUUUUGAUUUGAUUUUGAAAUUCUGAUUUUAACUUCUAAGGCCUUUAAGGCAGUAGCUCCAUCCUGUUUGGGAGAUCUUAUUUUCCCCUAUAUUCACAACCAUCCACUAAGUUCUGAAUCUGAUGGGAACUCAGUGAUUAAUACAACCCUGAGACUGUGAGAGGUUUGUGCCCCCUCUCCCCGCAUUUAAUCCCCUCAUCUGUGGAACAAGCUUUCUGCUACUCUCCCCAUUUAUAUCCCAUUUCUAGUUGACAUCCGUCUUUCACACACUUGUAAAGAACAACGUCUUUGCUACUAAAUUUAAUUGUUUAUUUGCUCAUUUUGUAUAUUGUUUUGCUGCACUGGACCCAAGGAUAUUUUCCUGAGGGGUGCUUUAUAAAAACAACUUUGUCCAGUCUUGA